CGCGUAGGCGGGAACGUAAGUCAGAUGUGAAAGCCCGGGGCUCAACCCCGGAACAGCAUUUGGUACUGCGUUUCUAGAGGGUAGGCGGAGAAAAUGGAAUUCCACAAGUAGCGGUGAAAUGCGUAGAUAUGUGGAAGAACACCGGUGGCGAAGGCGAUUUUCUAGCUUAUACCUGACGCUGAGGCGCGAAAGCAAGGGGAUCAAACA
rnacentral:rRNA from 1 species